rnacentral:rRNA from 1 species
UCGGGAAUUUUGGGCAAUGGGCGAAAGCCUGACCCAGCAACGCCGCGUGAGGGAUGAAGUAUUUCGGUAUGUAAACCUCGAAAGAAUGGGAAGAAUAAAUGACGGUACCAUUUAUAAGCUCCGGCUAACUACGUGCCAGCAGCCGCGGUAAUACGUAGGGAGCAAGCGUUGUUCGGAUUUACUGGGCGUAAAGGGCGCGUAGGCGGCGCGGUAAGUCACUUGUGAAAUCUCUGAGCUUAACUCAGAACGGCCAAGUGAUACUGCUGUGCUAGAGUGCGGAAGAGGCCACCGGAAUUCUUGGUGUAGCGGUGAAAUGCGUAGAUAUCAAGAGGAACACCUGAGGCGAAGGCGGGUUGCUGGGCCGACACUGACGCUGAUGCGCGAAAGCCAGGGGAGCAAACG